CGCGUAGGCGGUGCCAUAAGUCAGAUGUGAAAGCCCUGGGCUUAACCUAGGAUGUGCAUUUGAAACUGUGGCGCUAGAGAUCGAGAGAGGAAAGCGGAAUUACGAGUGUAGAGGUGAAAUUCGUAGAUAUUCGUAAGAACACCAGUGGCGAAGGCGGCUUUCUGGCUCGAUACUGACGCUAAGGCGCGAAAGCGUGGGGAGCAAACAGGAUUAGAUACCCUGGUAGUCCACGCUGUAAACGAUGAGUGCUAGAUGUUGGUGAAGGAAUUCAUCAGUGUCGCAGCUAACGCAUUAAAGCACUCCGCCUGGGGAGUACGGUCGCAAGAUUAAAA
rnacentral:rRNA from 1 species